rnacentral:lncRNA from 1 species
UGUAAUUCCAACAGUGUUGUCUCCGCUUACAGUCUGUAGCCAGUUCUCAUUCUGUUUGAACCAGUGCGAGCCAAGCCACAGCCAGCCCUGUUCUCUGGAAUCUUGUGAAAAGCCUCUUCCUCUUCCUGCCCCUGGCUGCGAAGGCCCUCCAUGCAGUUGGUCCAGCUACUCACACUCCCAUGGGUCCCCAAGCAAGCUGCUCCCUCUUCUGCUCCCUUUCAUCGCUCCUGGAAUGUGCUUCUCCUGA